rnacentral:rRNA from 1 species
UACGGAGGGAGCUAGCGUUGUUCGGAAUCACUGGGCGUAAAGCGCAUGUAGGCGGCUUGUCGUGUCAGAUGUGAAAGCCCACGGCUCAACCGUGGAAGAGCAUUUGAAACUGGCAGGAUAGAAUACUGGAGAGGGUUGUAGAAUACCAGGUGUAGAGGUGAAAUUCGUAGAUAUCUGGUAGAAUACCGGUGGCGAAGGCGGCAACCUGGACAGAUAUUGACGCUGAGAUGCGAAAGCGUGGGGAGCGAACAGG